rnacentral:lncRNA from 13 species
GAUCCAUCCACACUUGAAGGUAGAUGCAUCUCUGGACUUCCUUGACCUGUGACAUGAUUUGAAUAUGAUUUAUCUCUCAGCAGCUGAAAAAAGUAGUGAUUUGAUUUGCCUUGAGAAUGAUCCAUGUGCUGAGGAAAAGAAUGUGAAUGCCGUCCCUCUUAAAUGAAGUGUUCUAUGAGGAAACUAUAAGAGAAGAGAGAUUACUAAAGAGAGUUAUAGAAAGUCAAAAAGAGGCUAAUAACUUAAAAAGACUGUAGACUUCACUCAUUGGGAGGAACCUAAUCCAGGUCUUCGGAUCCCAAAAAAGCAAUAGUAUAACAUUUCAAGUGCACUACCAGCAAAUCAGAGCAGUUACCUUGAUACAGGGGAAGAAAACUACUCUGGCGUCUGUGUAAUCUGAUUUGAUCCUAACUCUCAACUAGGCCACAGGACUUCCAGGCUUCACUUCAGAUGAUAAUUAUAUCCAUGGUAGAGCUACCUUUUAAAGCAGAAAGUACAGCUUUCCUUUGAAUAACUGGUUAUUCUGAAAAAAUUUAAAAGGUGGUAAAUAAAUUUGAAGAGGCUGGUGCUAAUUAAAUUCA